UCCGUGGAUCCACCGCUUUAGCAUCUCGCGCUCGCUGUUUGGGGGGCACCAGCGUUGCGCCGCCUGGUCCGUCUCCCUCCCAUGGCUCCCCUGGCCCCUGCUUGCCUCGCUGUCCCGUCCGUUUGCCGGACGACCCUUGCGAGCUCCAGGUUCCAAAACAUUUCAAUUGUUGAGGUACAAUAGAAAUGUACAACACCUGCAAUUCCGAAUUCAGUUGCUCCGAAAUUCAGAAAGACCUUAUUGUUUUUUAUGUGAUGAUUUUUCGGAUACAUAGAUGCAUUUGGCCUCUGUAGCUGCAAGUUGCAAACAACCUCUUGAGACAGGUUUAUGCUCGAUCAACCCAUCAAAUGAAUCUAGAAUUCUGGAACCUCAAAUUGAAAUUUCUCAAGAUGGGAAGACAUGAAGAUUUCUAUGAACAACGCUAAAAUAGGUAUUUGGGACGAAGAGAAGAACUGGACAUAAUGUUGGUCAAGAGUUGGCUCCUAUCAUUUUAGUUCCAAAUCAAACUGCCAUGAUAAUUUGUUUUGGCAAUAUAUUCUUGCCAAGAGCAAUUGUGGUGUCGCUGCCAAUAGGUGCCACAAGUAUCAGCAUUAUCUGGGAAGAGGAAGCCAUGACAAGGUGCAGCAGUUCAUGGCCAUAACCGGUGCAAGGUAUAAUUAUCUUUAAUAUUUGGACUGGGAUUCAGUGCUGACUUGUUAGUUUUGUUUAUUAUAGAUCUUUGCUUCUCUACAUCAAUUAUAGCAACUUCGUAAGUGGUGAUGCUGAUGUCGGUAGUUAGUUGGGAGUAACUAGCAAAGAAAUUUGCAAUACAAUACAGUAAUAUCAAUGUUGAACUUAUUGAAUCUAUCGUUUGGGCUCAUUAAGAAACACUAAAAUUUACCUAGCUAGCACCCUUCAUGUUGAUUUGUCGUCGCAGCCAUCCGAUCGUAUUUGUGAGCAUCCUAGAUCAUCUAGUCACAUCAGACUGGACUAUUAUGGCGCAACCCAUCCACCUCAGCCAGACCACCCAUCAGUGGGUUGCUUCUCUGAAGAUUGACCUGAGAGUUUUCUUAUGAGCCGGGCCGAUUGCCGAUGGGUUGUUGGUCAGCCAGCAGGUUUUCCUGCUGAUCGGCCCUCUUGGAUGACUGAAUGGCGCAGGCCCAGCUUAAUUCUGCUCGCCCCCUUCUCUGCCCUUCACUGCGAAGUAACCGGGAGUAAUUAGGCGGAAGCCAGGCCGCCUUCCUUCCAUUAUUGUUGCUCGAACAUAGGCACAUUACUCUGCAUGUAGCCGCCUUAUUUGCCACUCCUCAAUUUUUUUUGCUAUAUUCCUCUUUAUAUGGUGUGUGCUCCAUCCCUCCCGGUUGCCCAUAUGUGAUCUCGCCUUAAUUUGUCUUCCAGUCUUAUCAAUUCCUAUCCUUCCCGAUUUCUUUUUUGUUUGCUAUGGCGGGCGCGGACACCUCACACCUGCGCUUUCGUGGCGCUCCAUAUAUGCCUUCGUGGAAAUCGAAACUGCCCGUCAGGCCAUGAUGAGAGGUAAAAAACCGAUCACAACUGAUAUAUUUCAGGUGUUGUAGAGGCGCACAUGGGAAAUGUUCGAGUCGCUCGGAGGGGAAGUCUACGAUUGUAGGGUUGGGUGAUACUUUGAGAGAGAUGUUGUGCACGUGCAAGAGGAAAACCUGCCGGCCGCCAAGAUGCUUGUGCUCUCAAGCUCAACGCAAUAGCGCAGAGAGAGGAUCAUUUUGUAGCAUAUGUAAUUGCCGUUAUAGUUUCCUGGACAAGUAUCACUGCUACUCUCUCUCUGUACCAGUUCAAUGAAUUGCUAUUUAUUACUACUUGGUUGAUCUUCUAUCUCCAUUUCUACACGAGUUCAUAUACAUAGUUAAGCUUUGAAAUUUGGGGAAAAUACUUCAUAUGUAAGAGAUUAAUAGUCAUACACGCAAAUUAGCAAGAUAGGUUAUUUUCUUUGUCGGGCAUACCAAACUCUCAGGCCCGUUUAUCUUGGGGAUCUGGUUAUGCAUUUGGAUUAUCAUAUAAUUCCUUGCUCCAAGCCUCCAACAUGGCACUAAAAUAGUCUCACAUGUGUUUUUAAAUAUUGCUUUCAGAUGUACUGCCAAAUUUUGAGCUGCAUAAUUUGAUGAUAUUUGCAAUAUUCAUGGUCACUCUGAGAGGAUACUCACUUCAUCUGUAUGAUUGAUCGGUGGUGCUACUUUUCUAUUUGUUGGGAGAUGUUUGGUGCUUCUAUUUUAUUUGUAGGUGUUACAUAAGCCACAAGUUUCUUUGAUGGAAACUGAUUAUUUGAAUCAUCCCAGGUAAUUUAAUCAAGUUACUUCCUGGUACAUGGGUCUAAGGACCACUCUUGCAUUCCUUUUGUCUUUGAUAUUUACUCACUUUAAAAUAGCACAAUGCAGAAAUCAAAAGAUGGUUGACAAUCGAUCAAUUGAUGGUCCGAGGAGAAUUUAGUACGAUUCAGUUGGCAAUGAGUGAUCUGUAGUGAAACUUCUGAAAAGUUCCAUAACUUGGUAAAGAGAAAUAUAUUUUAAAAGAAUGAGACUAUCAACUAAUAUGGUAAUGAUACAAUCAAAUCGAUUUCUCUUGUAAUCUUUUGGACAGAUUUUUUUUUCAAUAUUUGCUCUUCUUGUGUCAACACAGCUGGAAAAACUGUUGAUAAUUUGUUGGAAUAGUUGUACUUAGAUUUGUAUUGUACUCAUUUUGCGGCACCCCAUUUUGUAACUGCUCGUCCCAGCUCUGUAGGAGUCGACAUCGACCCUGUUGCCGGAAGUUUGGAACGUGUUCACCGCUCCAUUCUCUCGUCCAUCGCGCGCUGGCUCUUCCAUCUCUGCUCACCUCGCCAGUCAUCUGUGACGAUAUUACCUGUCCACUGCCCAGCCCGGUCAUGAUUUUGUUGUUGAUUCCCGAGGAGCCUUCCCAUGUCUAAGACUAGUCACAAUGGGAAGUAUCAUACACUAGUAUCAUGCACAUGAUACUAGUUUAUGAUACCACCUCCACAUUGCAUAGUAUCAUAAGAUAGUAUUGUAGUUUGAUUAUAUUUAAUGUUUUGUAGAAUCUCAAUGCAAAUGUGUGUACAUGAU